rnacentral:rRNA from 1 species
AACGAACGCUGGCGGCGCGCCUAAUACAUGCAAGUCGAGCGAGAAGACGUAGCAAUACGUUUGUAAAGCGGCGAACGGGUGAGGAAUACAUGGGUAACCUACCCUCGAGUGGGGAAUAACUAGCCGAAAGGUUAGCUAAUACCGCGUACGCUCCUUGGACUUCGGUUCAGGGAGGAAAGCGAUACCGUGGGUAUCGCGCUCAUGGAUGGGCUCAUGUCCUAUCAGCUUGUUGGUGAGGUAACGGCUCACCAAGGCUUCGACGGGUAGCUGGUCUGAGAGGACGAUCAGCCACACUGGCACUGCGACACGGGCCAGACUCCUACGGGAGGCAGCAGUAAGGAAUAUUGCGCAAUGGGCGAAAGCCUGACGCAGCGACGCCGCGUGGGGGAUGAAGGUCUUCGGAUUGUAAACCCCUUUCGGGAGGGAAGAU